UUUUGAGAGGUGUCAUGCAAGCCACGACACCUCAGACGGCAAGCUCUCUGUGUUAACACCUCGAGUAUAACAGCUAGCAAAUGUGAGAGUCAGAGCAGGCACCAAACUAACACACACACUCUAUAAUAAGAAAUCAUCAGACGAGCCCUUCCUAGUCACAGGGAUGCUUGAACGUUUCGGAGAGACGGAGGACUGAGUAUGGAGAGAACAUUAAAUCGGGCAUGAUUUACUUUUGUCAUUUUGUCCACAUGCAUUAGACAGAUAAAAGCUUUUGUUGCGGAAAAAAAAAGUUUCCUUCCAAAUAUGCCCAAUUUCAUGGUAAAUUCAUGUAUGUUUUUAAUUUAUGUCCAUGGUCUACUCUAGAUGGCAAAGUUAAAGUGUUUUCGAAGGUUUGCACAGGAAUGCUUUGUCAACAGAGCAGUUGCAUGGACAUGUCACUUGAUGGCAGCACUGAGCAACAAGUCACCCAGUGCUUAUUUUGAUUCAAACCAGUCAAAUCUGUGGUGAACGUGAUUUCACCAAAUACAACAUGUUCCUUGAUCAACAACUUUGUCAAUCCUGGAACAACAUUCCAAUCAACCAAUCAGAUUUGAUCGGCAAGUUUACAGUUUAUGUCAAAUUUAGCUUUACAGCUAGGGUUAGAUGCUUGAACAUCAGUGUUAUUCACCUAUCAUUUCCCUCUGAUUUUAGGGAUAAAUUAUGGGUUGGGUUGGGUUAGGGAUAGGAUUAGGACUUAAUUUUCAGACAGGAAUGUUGUUCCAGGAUCAACAAAACAUGCUGACCCAGGAACAUGUCUUACUUGGCAAAUGGCAUGGUGACCAAAAUGAUGAAAGUGUAAAAGUUAUUAGAUAAAAAGAGCAAUAGUAGAUUUGUUUUGAUUAAAAUAAGUACUUUUUUUUCUUUAUGAAUGAAUUUAAAAACAGUCAUGCUUGUCUUCUAUAAUUCUAGGUGUGAAAUGACAACUAGGGUGGAAAGCACAGAUGAUCGUGACGGAAGCGCACAGGUCUACAGGUUGAGAAAGAUUCUCUCUGACUGAGCACUUGGAACGUGUCUGGCGGACUGCCGUGCGUCCUCUAACACCCGUCAACGGGAGUGUCAGCUUGAAACCUCCGAUCUUCUGUGGAGUUGAGAUGCUGACAGCUGCCAACGUGGAGGUAUUGUGCGUGCUCUUCCCCGUCGGUUUCCCGGUGAUAGAAGUAAUUGAAAUUGGACACAAUGACAGUGGUCAUGGUAACCACAGCCCACCAAAAAGCAUCAGGGAUGCUGCUGAAACUCGAGCUUGGGUCAUCUGCCUCCGCGAAGUAGACUGCGCUGGAAAACAAGAUGACCCCGAUGAAGAGGAAGAAGAUGAGAAGUCC